UAAUAAUGAUGAUAAUGGGAGAGGGGGGUCGGGUGGGGACGAAACCUCCUACUUUGAGACAAAGAAAAUCUCUUCCAUUAAAACCUGCAUCACGAAUCCUUCUGCUCCAAGCUCUCAACCAUCUCUUUCAAACUGCCAGUUCCUGGGCUGAAAUAUUAUUUAUUCCUUUCCUUUCCAAUAAAACAAUUAUUUGUUCCACCAUUUCCCCCCUCGUUCACUCUCCGGUGUGUCUGGCUUCGUCCUGACAGCUCGGCCACGGACUGUUUACAUGUCUCGCUCACCCUCCAAGACUCUGGUUCAGCUCCAUUGACACUAAAGGCAGGCGAAUUCUCUCGGUGUGAGGAAUCAAUUACUUCCGCUGACACUCUAUUACUGGCCCUCACAUCUUUGGACUCCAGAUGGAGAGUGAAGGUGGUGGUGAGGAUGGCAGGGAAUUUGAAGAGGAUGGUGAGCGGGGCUGUGGGGGGAUUGGGGGAGUAGGAGGUAGGUGACAGGGAGGCAGAGAGAGACGAUGGACUGAGAGGCCUCUGGCUUGUAUUUAAAGACACAGAAAGAGAUCUCUCUCCUUGACUGCCCCGCUGGCAUCCGGAGGUGACUGCAUGGCAGGAAGAGGCAAAGAAAAGGAAUAAAAAGAGAAAAGGAAAAGAAAAGGCUUGUCAAGGAUAUCUAAAGAAAUCAGAGAGGCCCCAAAUACCUAAGCACUGGGACAGCAGAUGACAGCUCCAAGCAGAUUGACACAGAGGAGUCAAGCUAAGCCAAAGGAGAGUUGAACUCAAGGGCAAAACCCUUAAGGCCAAUCUCCAUGUACAGAGGGGAAAUUGACCCUGUUUGAGCUACUGAGCCCGCUGGAAGAAAUUCAGCCGGAGCCGCAGAAGCCGCAACGCAUAUGGGCAAGAUCCCCUAAAACUUGGUCUGGAAAGCUGAUUCCCGAAGGUUCCCCAACCCAGAUGAUUCCCAGAGGGGCGACAAGUCUAUUCCAAAUCCCUCCCCCACCUCCAAACACUAGGGCUACCGGCGCCCGCCACCCAGCCGCUGGACGCCUGCGACCCGGUGGGAAAGACCCCCGGCACAGCCAGCCCGAGUCGAAGGGCGGGGGCAGCCCUUCAAUCAGAGCGCGCCUUGCCUCCAUUAACUUGUGUUGAUAUUAAAAAGAAAUCAAUCAGUGAAAAUGAAGCA
rnacentral:lncRNA from 1 species